GAGUUUGAUUAUGGCUCAGAACGAACGCUGGCGGCAUGGAUUAGGCAUGCAAGUCGAACGAGUGUAGCAAUACACUAGUGGCGAAAGGGUGAGGAACACGUGAGUAAGCUGCCCUUCAGUUGGGAAUAACCCCGCGAAAGCGGGGCUAAUACCGAAUGUGACGCAUUUUCCGCAUGGGAGAUGCUUUAAAGAUUUAUCGCUGAAGGAUGUGCUCGCGUCCCAUUAGCUAGUUGGUGAGGUAACGGCCCACCAAGGCAAUGACGGGUAGGUGGUCUGAGAGGAUGGUCACCCACACUGGGACUGAGAUACUGCCCAGACUCCUACGGGAGGCUGCAGUCGAGAAUCUUCCGCAAUGGGCGCAAGCCUGACGGAGCAAUGCCGCGUGAAGGAUGAAGGUCUUUGGAUUGUAAACUUCUGUCACCGGGGAUGAAUUAUGACAGUACCCGGGGAGGAAGCCACGGCUAACUACGUGCCAGCAGCCGCGGUAAUACGUAGGUGGCGAGCGUUGUUCGGAAUUAUUGGGCGUAAAGGGUUCGUAGGAUGUUUCUUAAGAUUGGUGUGAAAUCCCAAGGCUCAACCUUGGAACUG
rnacentral:rRNA from 1 species